GGUGAAGGCAAAUCGGUGGUCAGGAUUCAUGGAGAGUUUGGCGUGGACGAAGAGAAGAAUUGCUUGCUUAAUGGACUCCAUUCUGGUGAUGGGUCGUCCAUUAGAGCCGGUGGUUUUGAUCUCAACGGAAGAUUCAGGGUUCACAUCUAUGCAGAAGAGAAUAUCUUCGUUGUUUAAUCUCGAUGGUUUCAGCGAGUAUCCGCUUC
rnacentral:misc_RNA from 1 species